AAGAAUUGAAAUUGUGUUCUCUGGUUCCGUGUACGCAAGCAAUAGGAUAAAAUUUCCCGUUCGAAGAACUACACAAUGACUAUGCCCAAUUAAGAGGAAGCUGAGCAUGCAACGAGUACCGAUCUCAAUGUAUUUGGAACUAAACGCAAGCGUGCUAGGCUUGUGGUGUACGCAGAAGUGCUACUGCUGCAAACCGCGACCCGCAAAUGCCGGCCCCAAAGGCAGCACGACCAACCUACCACUGCAGAGCCUACCGUUGCAGAAGAAAACAUUUAUCCAGAAGAUGCGUCGCUGGGUGGGCUUGAAGGCAUGGUAGGAGGCGACCACUGGGUCAGCCGAACUACGGAUCUCGACGUGCUCUUCUGCAUACGGGCUUUUAUUAUUGGAGCUACUCCGUAUGCAAAACAGCUGGUUAUAAACGCGUACUUGGUCCGGAUGCUAGGUUCUCUGUGUGCGGGACUGGGUGCUUGGUAGGAGGCGACCCAUGGGUCAGUCGAAAAUCACACGGGUCCCAUGAGGUUGCUGUAUCCGGCAGGCAGUCGACAGCCGUUGGCCGAAUGGUGAAAGGUGCACGGCAGUGCAUGCAGAUCAGUUGGGGAAGGCUGAUAGCCAUGGGUUUCCCAGCAGACGACCGUGAUGGGGAUAGGAGAAAGGCCAUCACAAUAUCCUGAGGAACCACAGCGGGGACAGGCGGCCUCAUCGCUGCACCGCUCCACGGCGCUCUGCAGUGCAGAAUGCGUUGCCGCCAGCAGAGCUGCACGGGUUGCACUCACAUCGGGAAGAUGAUGGAAGUACAGACUAGCGAGUUGGGGAUCGAACGUGAGUCCGUAAGAGGUGCCCGCUCCGCCAGCGCCAUCUAAUUCGUCAGCAUCAUCGCUGUCCUCGUUGUAAUCGUCUGAAUCACAUGCCCCAUGAUCAGCCGCAGCUGUCAUUCAAACAAUGUCAGCCUGUCCCACAUGCGGGUGAUCAUCCGGUAUCCAGCCUAAGUCCGUUGGCGCAUCUUCUUGAUAAAUGUCUUCUUCUGCAAUGGUAGGUUCUACAGUGGUAGGUUGGUCGUGCUGCCUUUGG
rnacentral:lncRNA from 1 species